rnacentral:misc_RNA from 1 species
CAAUAAGUGUUUUUAUGGCACUUUAAAAAUCCAUAUCCACCUUGUGUGCAACGUUUUGAGCUCUUUUUAUCAUUUCGCCGGUCGUAGAACGUUUGUUCUGCAGCCGCGGAAGGCACGAUAAGGAGGGCUUUUUAUACCUUAACUCUUGAUCUUUAACGAAUUUGUCUGAAAAGCUAUUGCGAAUUAACUAAUUCAAAAUAAAUA